AUUGAACGCUGGCGGCAGGCCUAACACAUGCAAGUCGAACGAGUGGCGGACGGGUGAGUUAUGUCUGGGAAACUGCCUGAUGGAGGGGGAUAACUUCUGGAAACGGUAGCUAAUACCGCAUACCAGCAGGUGUGCCCAGAGGGGUUUAGCGAGGUGGUGGGGUAACGGCUCACAAAGGCGACGAUCCCUAGCUGGUAUGAGAGGAUGACCAGCCACACUGGAACUGAGACACGGUCCAGACUCCUACGGGAGGCAGCAGUGGGGAAUAUUGCACAAUGGGCGCACGCCUGAUGCAGCCAGGCCGCGUGGAUGAAGAAGGCCUUCGGGUUGUAAAGUACUUUCAGCGGGGAGGCGUUACCCGCAGAAGAAGCACCGGCUAACUCCGUGCCAGCAGCCGCGGUAAUAC
rnacentral:rRNA from 1 species